GUACGCGGAGGAGCGCACUGCAAAAAAGGAACUCAAAGCUACAUUGGCUCACCUCUCCAUCGGGUCCAAGAGCAGGAGUCUGACCCUCAGCGUUCUCCAACUGCAGCACAAGCAGAUACAAUACGUCACAAAA